UACGGGGGGAGCAAGCGUUGUUCGGAUUUACUGGGCGUAAAGGGCGCGUAGGCGGUCAGCACAAGUCAGUUGUGAAAUCUCCGGGCUUAACUCGGAAAGGUCAACUGAUACUGUGCGACUAGAGUGCGGAAGGGGCAACUGGAAUUCUCGGUGUAGCGGUGAAAUGCGUAGAUAUCGAGAGGAACACCUGCGGCGAAGGCGGGUUGCUGGGCAGACACUGACGCUGAUGCGCGAAAGCCAGGGGAGCGAACGGG
rnacentral:rRNA from 1 species